GGUGGCGGACGGACGAGACGAGACGAAGGAGGAGGGAGGGGGCGGGGGCGGGGUUUUGGGAUCGGCGGCGUUGGACAAGGAAGAGGAGGCCACAAGUGAAGGAGCAGCGGGCGCACUAUGCGCGCGUCCUCUCGUAGGGGGCCCUCGCGCCGGGCGGCGACAGGGGCCGCACGGCCGUACCUCCUCUCCGGUAUCUAGCGGCCGUCCGCGGAGGCGGCGGCGGCCUGCGCCGCCGCCUCGUCCGACCCCCGAGGGUCCUCGACGUCGAGGGCCGCCUGUAGCUGACCCUCGCCGAGCUGUUCAGCGCGAAGAAGAAGGAGCCGCGCCCCGAGAAGAGGCGGCAGAGCUGGCGCGACAUGGGGCGGCAGCAGGAGUUCUGCGCGGACGUCCAGCGCGGCCUCGGAGGGGGCCGCGUGCGGCGCUGCCCCCGCGCCGGCCCCGAGGGCGGGAGGCGGCGGCGGCGCCGGUGGUGGUAGGACGCGGCCCUCCCGGGGGAGCGGAAGAUGGCACCGAAGCGGUGGAGGGAGCGGCCCUGGCAGGGGCGCGCGCGCGAGAUGUACCCGCGCGAGCUCCGGUGCGCGAGGCAGCAGCCGGGCCGGCGCGAGCCGGAGCCGCGCGGACUCGGGCGACGCAGGCGCCGGCGCCCGCGGCGACGGCCCGAGUGGCGGCGGCAACGGCGCGUCCAACACACCUGCGGGCAGCUACAGUAGUCGGUCGCGGAGUACCACGUCCCGUUGGGCACGGGCCGGAGGGCGAUGGUGCCGCCGGAGCUGCGUAAGGCGUUCUAGCACCGGAGGCUGCCAGAGACGCCGGACAUGGCGCCGAAGCCGUACAGGUAGGAUUGGAUGCGGGGGAGGUUACGGCACACCACCCGCUGAAUGAGUGACAGUGUCUUCUAUUAGACCUCGCCCUAACCGACGAUGGAGACGCUCAUGCCACACCCACACGUUCUUUAGCUGCUGCCGCUGCCACUGUAGAGCAACGUCGGUUCGACGUUCUGUGAGUACCACCACGUCCCUUGCUCACGGCGCUAUCGGCCACCGCGGCGCCGGGAACACUGGUACGGCGACCUGUGGUAGUUCUGGUCCUACGUCCAGUACCUGCCGGUUCCGCUCGGUUAGUGGUAACCCGCCUGCCACGCCCUCGACUAGUUCCUUCCGCCCACCCCGCGCACAAUGUCCCCCGAGCCGGGCUCCACCCGCAGGUACAGGAACAGACGGUGAUGGUACUAGUGGUGCAUACUCAAGGAGUUCGCGGAGAGCCGCUUCUUCCCCGUCCUCUCACCGCAGGGUACUGAAGACUACCGUUCAAUAUAUCUAUUACGUUUAAUCCAAGGAAGGGAACCAAACAAAGCAAGGAAAGGUGUCGAAUAGACUAGAAAGUCCACAACUUUUCUUUUACCACUAGUUCACAAACAUCUAUCACAGAAGCAAACAUUGAGGUUUAGUUAGUUGCUUUAGGUGAAAUAAAGACCAUGAAGCGAAGACGACGAAUUAGUGCAAAAUCGAACACUCAGAAGUGUUCAUGAGGUAAGUGAACGAACCUUGGUUUGUACCGAUACUAUAGUGUUGAGGUCGUACGUGGCUCGUCCAAAGUACAGUAAGGAAAGGAAGAGAUAAACAAAGUAAAAGACCAAGACUAGUAGUUGAUGUACCGGGUAGUCCUUAGACUUAUGAAGUUCACUGUCUCUCUGACCUCAUGUGACAUCGCAUGUGACUGGUAAGGUGUGUACCAGUGCUCGCUGUCCGAAUAUACCUGUCCAUGCGACAUGUCCACGAGAGUAUUGACCCGUGACGACGUCAUUGGACUAUAUCUUCCCAGGAUCCUUUUACCUUCUAGACAAAUGGGAAAAACAGUCAAAAAGGGAAAGUUUAAAGAGAACAGAAAAAAGUAACGUUUUUAUCCUCCGGAUUCUCAGAAGAGAACCUUAUUUGUUCAUGAUCUACUACAAGGUUGAUGGACGUGGUGAAACCAAUGUUUACUGUACGUUUACAGUAUACAACUAUUACCAAUUGGUGAGAACAUAUACUGCAGAUUUGCCACAGAAAAUAGACUACAAAUACGAUAGUAAAAGAACAUCACCGGCCUUAAUCCCAUCGAAAGAAAGGUAACGAGACAAAGAAAAGAUCACAGUUAACAGAAACCAUGAAGAAAAUAAAUAUGGAGAC
rnacentral:rRNA from 1 species